rnacentral:rRNA from 1 species
CCUACGGGAGGCAGCAGUGGGGGAUAUUGCACAAUGGGGGAAACCCUGAUGCAGCGACGCCGCGUGGGUGAAGAAGCGCCUCGGCGCGUAAAGCCCUGUCAGCAGGGAAGAAAAUGACGGUACCUGAAGAAGAAGCCCCGGCUAACUACGUGCCAGCAGCCGCGGUAAUACGGAGGAGCCGAGCGUUAUCCGGAUUCGUUGGGUUUAACGGGUUCGUAGGUGGUUUUAUAGGUUAGCGGUGAAAUACCGAUGCUCAACAUCGGGGCUGCCGCUGAUACUGUAGGACUAGAGAUCGGAUGCAGCAGGCGGAAUGUGUAGUGUAGCGGUGAAAUGCAUAGAUAUUACACAGAACACCGAUUGCGAAGGCAGCUUGCUAGGCCGGAUCUGACACUGAUGCACGAAAGCGUGGGGAUCGAACAGGAUUAGAUACCCGUGUAGUC